rnacentral:lncRNA from 1 species
CAAACCCUAAUCGUCGAUCUUCCUCGUCACCAGCUGUACGCCUUUAUCAUUUCCUUCCAAACGUCGAAUGCCCUUGUUAUUUCACGUACCACCGCGGUUAUUCCUCUCAAUUACUCGAUUCACCCUUCUCUUUCCAUCACCGUUGCCCACAAAACCAUCGUCGACAAUACCUCAUUUUUCCUUCACACCACUGUCAACCGCUCCCCCAUCUCCGUCUCCGUCAACCAUACCACCACCGUCCAUCCACCCCUAGCCACCGUUUGUCCUCCAUUCCUCUAUUAGCAUUAUUUUAUUUUAUUUUAUUUUAUUUUAUUUUAUUUUUCU